rnacentral:rRNA from 1 species
AGAGUUUGAUCCUGGCUCAUAUUGAACGCUGGCGGCAGGCCUAACACAUGCAAGUCGAGCGGAUGAUGGGAGCUUGCUCCCGGAUUCAGCGGCGGACGGGUGAGUAAUGCCUAGGAAUCUGCCUGGUAGUGGGGGACAACGUUUCGAAAGGAACGCUAAUACCGCAUACGUCCUACGGGAGAAAGCAGGGGACCUUCGGGCCUUGCGCUAUCAGAUGAGCCUAGGUCGGAUUAGCUAGUUGGUGGGGUAAAGGCCUACCAAGGCGACGAUCCGUAACUGGUCUGAGAGGAUGAUCAGUCACACUGGAACUGAGACACGGUCCAGACUCCUACGGGAGGCAGCAGUGGGGAAUAUUGGACAAUGGGCGAAAGCCUGAUCCAGCCAUGCCGCGUGUGUGAAGAAGGUCUUCGGAUUGUAAAGCACUUUAAGUUGGGAGGAAGGGCAGUAAGUUAAUACCUUGCUGUUUUGACGUUACCAACAGAAUAAGCACCGGCUAACUUCGUGCCAGCAGCCGCGGUAAUACGAAGGGUGCAAGCGUUAAUCGGAAUUACUGGGCGUAAAGCGCGCGUAGGUGGUUUGGUAAGAUGGAUGUGAAAUCCCCGG